GAGCCGCAGGGAGCGGCAAUGGCGCUGAGCAGGCUGCAGCGGAAUGGCGGCGAGCACAGAGCGGCAGGCAGGCAGGCGGGCAGGGCGUUUCGGGCCAGAGGGAAGCCUCCCGCGUUCCCCGGCAGAGCUGCGUUCUUUGUCUCUCGCAGCAGAGGAGUUUGGGCAGCUGCAGGGAUGGAUUUGCCUGCACUCAAGCUGCUGCUGCCAGAGCCCCUCCGUGUCAAUCUGUGCUGCCGUUGGGUUCUGCAGCUCUCUCCAGCAAGCAUGGCAUGAGCUGAAGGAGCAGCAGGAGCAGCAUGGCCGUUCCCCAGGCAGCAGGAGGGUUCAGCCCAGCACCAGCUCAUGCGGGAGGAGCAGAUGCUGAGGAACAUCCCCCACGAGACGCAGGUGGCCAAAGAGGCUGGGUCAGGAUGUUCAAGAUCCAUCAGUGACAGUGAGCUUUCCACUGGAUGAAGAUGCAAGUGUUUCUCUUGUUGCUGGGACCACGACUCCUUGGACCUUGCCCAGUAAUCUGGCCCUUUGUGUUAAUGCAGAGUUGCCAUAUGUAGAAUGGAGAGGCAAGUGUUAACUGAAGGGGACAUGUAAUGAACAUUUUCUUCUUUGAACCCUGUGAAUAUGUACUUCUGUUUUUCUGGAUAGGCUGUUUUCAACUGGGUGCAUAGCAGUUUGCUGGCAUUGAAUUAGUAUUUUGAAGGAUGAUUUCCAGUUGCUGAGCUCUUCUUUUACAUGCAUUGUGAGGACUGUUCCCUAAAAGUAGCACACCUUUGACCUGUCGUCUGUAAGUCACACUGGAUUUGGGAGCUGAGGAAGUGUGACUAGGUGUUGCCAGCUUUUUUAAUUCCCUCCUUUCCUGGGGCUCAGGCUCCUAAGCAGAUAUGACAGCUAAGUUGGAGUAACUGAACUGUACUCUUAGCUCGUAACAGACUCAGGAUGUCAUAUGCUAGUCUCAGCCUGACUCACCUUUCAGCUGCUCACAUUUUCUGACUUUUCAGUGUACAUUCAGUAGGGGGAAACACCCCCAAAAACCCGACAAAACAAAAACAAAAGAGGGAGAAGAUAUUCAAGGUAAUGAUGGCAUUUCCAGUUCCAGCAUGACCACAUGAAUGGAAUGUGUGCCUAAGGUGAUGCUGAAUAAAUCAAGUUGCAGAUGCCUUUACAGUGGACUCCAUGUGUUUGGGUUUUCUUUAUUUGAGGAGAGGGCUAAAUAUGUUUUGGGUAUCCCAGGUUUUAACAUAAAUGUAGUCAUCUCAAAAAGCUUAUUGUGUACUUGCAGAAAUAGCCUACAUCUGUCCGAGAGGCUGAGUUGUCGGGUCUGAGCGUCUGGCCUGCUGUCCACUGGUGGGAUAGUCACCCUAAUGAAGCUGGUAGAGUGGUAGUCAGAAUGAGCUUUGCCAUUGGGUGUCUCUUAAAAUGAAAUCUAGGCAUCAAAUUGAUUGGAAGUCUCAAAGGCAGCAUAAAGUAGAAUGGUUACCCCUAAUGUCAGCUUAACAACAUGGAUUUUAGGGAGCAAUUUUCCUUCUUCCAGUUGCUUCCCUCUGUUUUAGUUACUGCUUUUCUUUGUCAUGAUGGUAAUAGAUGAGGUGGAGUAUUUCUGCCUCAAACUGGAAACCACAGUGAAAAUCAGUCAACUGGAUUUCACCCUGUGCUUUCUGUCUAAACUUUUGAGCAGUGUUCACUAUGUGGCUGUGUGAGGAAGAAGUAGCUGGGACCUAACUGUGGAUCAGCAGGAUUAUUCUGAGCAGUUUUAGAUCUAAUAUGAUACCAUCUUGUCUAAAUGGAAAGGCUUUGUAAUGAUCAUAAUGAGGGUAUUCAGCUGAGAUUUGUGUAACUGUUUGUUUUCUUUUCUAUUCUAGAGAGUGCCACAGGACAGAUUUCCAUUUGGAUGGAAUCCAGGCUGGUAGCACUGCACAAACCUGAAAGUGAAUAGGAAAUACUUGACAGUGCAAAGAUAAAGGUGCCUUUGCUGUGGUAGUAGACAGUUACGUGAAGGAGGAAGAGGGCACAGGCGUUGUACACCAGGCUCCCUAUUUUAGUGCUGAUGAUGACAGAGUCUGCAUGGACUUGAAUAGAAUUCAGAAGGGUGCUGUGGCUGUUUGUGCCGUCGAUGCAUCUGGCUGCUUCACAGCAGAGGUGGCUGACUUGGCUGGACAGUAUGUGAAGAUGUGGUCAUCAAGCUUGUGCCAGCCAGGUAGUGUAACACGACUUGUCAGAGGAGAGAAGUCCACUCAUUUUCCCUACUUGUGGGAUGUGUUGCAAUGAUGCAGAUAAGAACAUCACUAAAGUACUGAAAGAGAAAGGCAGCCUGGUUCACAGCAGUAGUUUUAAGCACAGCUCUCCUUUCUGCUGGAGGUCUGAUACUCUGCUGAUAGACAAAGCUGUGCCAAGCUGGUUUGUAAGAGUGGAACACAUGGUGGAGAAACUGCUGGAAUGUAAUGCCCAAUGCUACUGUAUGUGACCUUGCCUGAGUUGCCUGCUGUUGUGGUCUUCAAAGAUGGAGCUUCCUUUGUUUCUGAUGAGUGUGAAGAUGGUGAUUUGUCAUCCUGGAUAAACAGAGCAAGAUUUCAAGGGUAUCUUCAUGUGGAUGGCUUUACACUUCAUGAACUUGGAGACAGAGGAAAACUUGUGGCUAUUGCAGUCAUUGAUGAUAAAAACUCUUCAGUGGAACAUACCAGGAACAGAACUGAGUGUUGGUGACAGUGUGGGAGAAGUUUGCUGAUAUGAUGUAGAGAACUUGGGGAAGUUUGUUAGAUCUGAAGAGAUGCCAGGGUGAAAACAAGAGAGCAGCAAGACAGGAAGCACAAAAGCAAACCUCUCUCAUGAAGGAAACAGCACAACUGCAAGCACAGCUUUAAGCACAGCAUACCAAGGAGGAAAAGAAAUCUCAAGCAGAGCAAAGGGGAGGAGUGGCUUAGAGAAAAGCAAAAGCACCCCACAAAGGACACAGCCAACCUACCCCCGCAAAGGGGAUCAGCCAAAGGCUUCUGCCUCUCCUGGGGCAGCUUAAAAAGGGGAGGUCAAUUGAAGUCUCCUCCCACCCCAGCUGUGGCCACUUUGACCUGCCUGCUCAGUGCCCUUUAUAAGCAGAGCAGGAGGAGCCCAGCCCCAAGCUGGGCCCAUUGCGGGCCAAGGGAUCCUCCGCCUGGCAUCCCAGAAAGCAGGAGUCAGCCACCUGCCACCCAUCCCCUCCUGACCCCAACCCCAGAAACCCAAAGCAGCACUUGGCACAGGAGGUCUCUCGUGUUGCAGUCUCAACUUCAAGCCCUGGAAUACUUUGCUUCAGCCAGCAGCAUGGGGUUGGAUACCAACAGCAGAGUCGACUUAACCUGUGACUAAGUGAACUUUAAGUGUUCUGACUCCACAGUGGAACCUGAUAAAGAAAGAUGUGAAUGGAA